rnacentral:rRNA from 1 species
UGAGGGAUAUUGCACAAUGGGCGAAAGCCUGAUGCAGCGACGCCGCGUGGGAGAAGAAGGCCUUCGGGUUGUAAAUCCCUUUUCUGCGUGACGAGGAAGGACGGUAGCGCAGGAAUAAGUCUCGGCUAACUACGUGCCAGCAGCCGCGGUAAAACGUAGGAGACAAACGUUAUCCGGAGUUACUGGGCGUAAAGGGCGUGCAGGUGGUUCGUUAAGUCUGGCGUGAAAGCCUCCGGCUCAACCGGGGAAAGUCGUCGGAGACUGACGAACUAGAGGGCAGUAGAGGCGUGUGGAAUUCCGGGUGUAGUGGUGAAAUGCGUAGAGAUCCGGAGGAACACCAGUGGCGAAGGCGACACGCUGGGCUGCACCUGACACUCAGACGCGACAGCAUGGGGAGCGAACGGGAUUAGAAACCCGGUAGUCCAUGCCGUAAACGAUGCCAGCUCGACGUUCACACCGCACCGCGGUGGGGGUGUCGAAAGUCAACACGAUAAGCUGGCCG